rnacentral:rRNA from 1 species
UGCAAGUCGAGCGAAUGGAUUAAGAGCUUGCUCUUAUGAAGUUAGCGGCGGACGGGUGAGUAACACGUGGGUAACCUGCCCAUAAGACUGGGAUAACUCCGGGAAACCGGGGCUAAUACCGGAUAACAUUUUGAACCGCAUGGUUCGAAAUUGAAAGGCGGCUUCGGCUGUCACUUAUGGAUGGACCCGCGUCGCAUUAGCUAGUUGGUGAGGUAACGGCUCACCAAGGCAACGAUGCGUAGCCGACCUGAGAGGGUGAUCGGCCACACUGGGACUGAGACACGGCCCAGACUCCUACGGGAGGCAGCAGUAGGGAAUCUUCCGCAAUGGACGAAAGUCUGACGGAGCAACGCCGCGUGAGUGAUGAAGGCUUUCGGGUCGUAAAACUCUGUUGUUAGGGAAGAACAAGUGCUAGUUGAAUAAGCUGGCACCUUGACGGUACCUAACCAGAAAGCCACGGCUAACUACGUGCCAGCAGCCGCGGUAAUACGUAGGUGGCAAGCGUUAUCCGGAAUUAUUGGGCGUAAAGCGCGCGCAGGUGGUUUCUUAAGUCUGAUGUGAAAGCCCACGGCUCAACCGUGGAGGGUCAUUGGAAACUGGGAGACUUGAGUGCAGAAGAGGAAAGUGGAAUUCCAUGUGUAGCGGUGAAAUGCGUAGAGAUAUGGAGGAACACCAGUGGCGAAGGCGACUUUCUGGUCUGUAACUGACACUGAGGCGCGAAAGCGUGGGGAGCAAACAGG